GACGAACGCUGGCGGCGUGCCUAAUACAUGCAAGUCGAGCGAAUGGAUGGGAGCUUGCUCCCUGAAGUUAGCGGCGGACGGGUGAGUAACACGUGGGCAACCUGCCUGUAAGACUGGGAUAACUUCGGGAAACCGGAGCUAAUACCGGAUACAUUCUUUCUUCGCCUGAAGAAAGAUGGAAAGAUGGUUUCGGCUAUCACUUACAGAUGGGCCCGCGGCGCAUUAGCUAGUUGGUGAGGUAACGGCUCACCAAGGCAACGAUGCGUAGCCGACCUGAGAGGGUGAUCGGCCACACUGGGACUGAGACACGGCCCAGACUCCUACGGGAGGCAGCAGUAGGGAAUCUUCCGCAAUGGACGAAAGUCUGACGGAGCAACGCCGCGUGAGCGAAGAAGGCCUUCGGGUCGUAAAGCUCUGUUGUUAGGGAAGAACAAGUAUGAGAGUAACUGCUCGUACCUUGACGGUACCUAACCAGAAAGCCACGGCUAACUACGUGCCAGCCGCCGCGGUAAAAC
rnacentral:rRNA from 1 species